GGUUAGUGGCGCACGGGUGCGUAACGCGUGGGAACCUGCCUUUAGGUUCGGAAUAACAGUUAGAAAUGACUGCUAAUACCGGAUAAUGUCUUCGGACCAAAGAUUUAUCGCCUUUAGAUGGGCCCGCGUAGGAUUAGAUAGUUGGUGGGGUAAUGGCCUACCAAGUCGACGAUCCUUAGCUGGUCUGAGAGGAUGAUCAGCCACACUGGGACUGAGACACGGCCCAGACUCCUACGGGAGGCAGCAGUGGGGAAUAUUGGACAAUGGGCGAAAGCCUGAUCCAGCAAUGCCGCGUGAGUGAUGAAGGCCUUAGGGUUGUAAAGCUCUUUUACCAGGGAUGAUAAUGACAGUACCUGGAGAAUAAGCUCCGGCUAACUCCGUGCCAGCAGCCGCGGUAAUACGGAGGGAGCUAGCGUUGUUCGGAAUUACUGGGCGUAAAGCGCACGUAGG
rnacentral:rRNA from 1 species